GAUGAACGCUGGCUACAGGCUUAACACAUGCAAGUCGAGGGGAAACGACGGGGAAGCUUGCUUCCCCGGGCGUCGACCGGCGCACGGGUGAGUAACGCGUAUCCAACCUGCCUCUGACUGAGGGAUAACCCGUCGCAAGUCGGCCUAAUACCUCAUGGCAUCGUCUGCGGGCAUCCAACGACGAUUAAAGAUUUCAUCGGUCAGGGAUGGGGAUGCGUCUGAUUAGCUUGUUGGCGGGGUAACGGCCCACCAAGGCUACGAUCAGUAGGGGUGCGGAGAGGAAGGUACCCCACAACGGAGAUGAGACACAGUCCAAAAUGGGAGGGAGGGGAGCAGAGAGGAAUAUUGGUGGAUGAGGGGGGACCUGAACCAGCCGAGUGGGGUGCAGGAGGACGGGGAUAGGGGUUGUAAACUGCUUUGGUGGGAGGAUAAAGUGAGGGACGUGUCCUGUAUUGAAGGUACCGCAUGAAUAAGGACCGGCUAAUUCCGUG
rnacentral:rRNA from 1 species